UACGGGGGGGGCAAGCGUUGUUCGGAAUUACUGGGCGUAAAGGGCUCGUAGGCGGCCAACUAAGUCAGACGUGAAAUCCCUCGGCUUAACCGGGGAACUGCGUCUGAUACUGGAUGGCUUGAAUCCGGGAGAGGGAUGCGGAAUUCCAGGUGUAGCGGUGAAAUGCGUAGAUAUCGGGAGGAACACCGGUGGCGAAGGCGGCCCCCUGGUUGGAUACUGACGCUGAGACGCGAAAGCGUGGGGAGCAAACAGG
rnacentral:rRNA from 1 species